rnacentral:ncRNA from 1 species
GUUGUUGCAAUAGUAAUCCUGCUCAGUACGAGAGGAACCGCAGGUUCAGACCCCUGGUGCGUGCGCUUGGCUGAGCAGCCACUGGAGCGAGGGCUGCACGCCUCUAAGUCAGAAUCCCGCCCAGACGCAGCGAU